rnacentral:siRNA from 1 species
AUUUUAAAUACAUGUUGCAGCUUC